rnacentral:rRNA from 1 species
CCUACGGGGGGCAGCAGUGGGGAAUAUUGCGCAAUGGGGGCAACCCUGACGCAGCCAUGCCGCGUGAAUGAAGAAGGCCUUCGGGUUGUAAAGUUCUUUCGGUAGCGAGGAAGGCAUUUAGUUUAAUAAACUAGGUGAUUGACGUUAACUACAGAAGAAGCACCGGCUAACUCCGUGCCAGCAGCCGCGGUAAUACGGAGGGUGCGAGCGUUAAUCGGAAUAACUGGGCGUAAAGGGCACGCAGGCGGUGACUUAAGUGAGGUGUGAAAGCCCCGGGCUUAACCUGGGAAUUGCAUUUCAUACUGGGUCGCUAGAGUACUUUAGGGAGGGGUAGAAUUCCACGUGUAGCGGUGAAAUGCGUAGAGAUGUGGAGGAAUACCGAAGGCGAAGGCAGCCCCUUGGGAAUGUACUGACGCUCAUGUGCGAAAGCGUGGGGAGCAAACAGGAUUAGAUACCCUGGUAGUC